AAGAGACACAGAAAAAAGAAACCCGGAAGCCCGACGCAAUGUCGAAACAGAGCCAUCGUCACUUGACGGAUCUCGGCUGCAUCGCCUACGAAGACUUGUCCGAGUUCGGCGCUGCCCCCAACGCCAGCACCUCUCUCCUCUGUGCUCUCGAUGCUCAUUGUCUCGCCAUCGCUAACCGAUCUCUUAUCCUCAUCGCCAACGCCAGCACCACUUUCCUUUUAUCUUGGUUUACUCUUUGCGUGGUGAUUUGAUUCAUAGACAGAUGGUAUAUCCAAGACACGUUGUAAACUUAAGAGUCUGUGGAAGUAAGAAAGAUAUGACACAAGAUUUAUCCUCAGAGGAGGUUUGUGUUGUCAUACCUGGCGUGAUUGCACGUUUUGAUGUGUCUGAUAUUCAGGUGAGUUCCCUGCUUAAAUGUGUAAUAGUUAUUUUGAAACAUGGCAAGAGCCUUGCCUGUUUAUCUCAUGCAGAAGCAAAGCAUUAGAUUUGUGUACGUGUUUGACCAACUUAGAUAACUAACUUAAAUGAGUAAUGUCGAGUACGCUUCAAAGGUCAUUUCAAGAAACACAUUCUCGUUUUUGGGAUCAGAAACCAAAGAAAGAUUUAGAGGAUAUAGGAAACUCUUAUGGUAGAUUACCAGUUAUGGAAACACAUUCCUUCGUAGGAGGUAUUUUGUCAAAAGUUGUGCCUGCAACAUUACUAUCGUGCAGCUUUCUGAAGUUAUUCUGGUAUUUGAAUUCAGCUGCUUUUUUUAUUGUUGGGCAGUCAAGUCAACGUUACUAAUGUGCAGUCACCAUUGGAGAUGAUGCUUUGAUCUCAGCUUUCAGACUCUCAGAAGAUAGGAACCGUUCCUUGGUAGGAGCUAUUUUGUCAAAAGUUGUGUCUGCAACAUGUUCCACAAGUGGUUCUUUCUCUAAAAUGAUAUGGCAGAGUGAACAAACGUCAAACAGGAAGUCAGAAGAGAAGCCUCAAUCAUUUGCCCGAGAUGAAGUCAUUUGUUCAACAUUUAUCGUCACAAUGAUAACGAUGCAUUACUAUUUAGUAGUGAGUCCAUAUCAUCUAAUCAUCCUUGCUUAUGGGGUGCAUAGGCGCUACAUACAAGUGGACUGUUACACUAAAGAUAGUUGGGAUUGAAUUAUUAUAGAAUUGUAGUGAAAAUAAUAGUGGGCAUGAAUUGACUUAUUACUCUAAUUGUGUGAACGGAUUGACAGAUUAUCCUAAACUAUGUUCACUCCAUAAGCAAACAUCUUAAUUUAAUCCUUUCAUACGUGGAUUCAAUGUAACUAAUUUUUCCUCUAUUCAGGAUAUACAUUUGACAGAUUUUCGGCUUUGCUGUUGUAGACUAAGUUGUGUUGUUGGAGAGUGAAAACUAUAGUACUUCUCUAGAUGGUUUUCAUUGUGCAGCUCUUAGAACUUCAUUUAGUAGAGCUCACAUUUAGCCAAAAAAAAAAACCUGUAAUUUUUACUGUUUUGUACUUGAUAUGGAAGUUAUACAUCCAUUUUUUAA